rnacentral:rRNA from 1 species
CCUACGGGAGGCAGCAGUGGGGAAUCUUAGACAAUGGGGGAAACCCUGAUCUAGCCAUGCCGCGUGAGCGAUGAAGGCCUUAGGGUUGUAAAGCUCUUUCGCCGGGGAAGAUAAUGACGGUACCCGGUAAAGAAGUCCCGGCUAACUCCGUGCCAGCAGCCGCGGUAAUACGGAGGGGACUAGCGUUGUUCGGAAUUACUGGGCGUAAAGCGCGCGUAGGCGGAUUAGUCAGUCAGAGGUGAAAUCCCAGGGCUCAACCCUGGAACUGCCUUUGAUACUGCUAGUCUUGAGUUCGAGAGAGGUGAGUGGAAUUCCGAGUGUAGAGGUGAAAUUCGUAGAUAUUCGGAGGAACACCAGUGGCGAAGGCGGCUCACUGGCUCGAUACUGACGCUGAGGUGCGAAAGCGUGGGGAGCAAACAGGAUUAGAUACCCCAGUAGUC